rnacentral:rRNA from 1 species
UAAACUCCUGUCCUAAGAGACGAGCAGGAGACGGUAUCUUAGGAGGAAGCCCCGGCUAACUACGUGCCAGCAGCCGCGGUAAUACGUAGGGGGCAAGCGUUGUCCGGAAUGAUUGGGCGUAAAGGGCGCGUAGGCGGCCUUUCAAGUCUGAAGUGAAAUCCCGUUUUUAGAUGGGAACUGCUUUGGAAACUGUAAGGCUUGAGUGCAGGAGAGGUCAGUGGAAUUCCCAGUGUAGCGGUGAAAUGCGUAGAGAUUGGGAGGAACACCAGUGGGCGAARGCGACUGACUGGACUGUAACUGACGCUGAGGCGCGAAAGUGUGGGGAGCAAACAGGAUUAGAUACCCUGGUAGUCCACACUGUAAACGAUGAAUGCUAGGUGUAGGAGGUAUCGACCCCUUCUGUGCCGCAGUCAACACAAUAAGCAUUCCGCCUGGGGAGUACGGCCGCAAGGUUGAAACUCAAAGGAAUUGACGGGGGCCCGCACAAGCAGCGGAGCAUGUGGUUUAAUUCGACGCAACGCGAAGAACCUUACCAGGUCUUGACAUCCAGUAAAAGCCUGAGAGAUCAGGUGUGUCUUCGGACAUACUGAGACAGGUGGUGCAUGGUUGUCGUCAGCUCGUGUCGUGAGAUGUUGGGUUAAGUCCCGCAACGAGCGCAACCCUUGUGUUCAGUUGCUAACAGGUGAAGCUGAGAACUCUGAACAGACUGCCGGGGACAACUCGGAGGAAGGUGGGGACGACGUCAAAUCAUCAUGCCCCUUAUGACCUGGGCUACACACGUGCUACAAUGGCCACCACAGAGAGGAGCAAGCCCGCAAGGGGGAGCAGAUCUCAAAAAAGUGGUCCCAGUUCGGAUUGUGGGCUGCAACCCGCCCACAUGAAGUCGGAGUUGCUAGUAAUCGCGGUUCAGCAUGCCGCGGUGAAUACGUUCCCGGGCCUUGUACACACCGCCCGUCAC